rnacentral:rRNA from 1 species
UACGUAGGGUGCAAGCGUUGUCCGGAAUUAUUGGGCGUAAAGAGCUCGUAGGCGGUUUGUCGCGUCUGCUGUGAAAACCCGAGGCUCAACCUCGGGCCUGCAGUGGGUACGGGCAGACUAGAGUGCGGUAGGGGAGAUUGGAAUUCCUGGUGUAGCGGUGGAAUGCGCAGAUAUCAGGAGGAACACCGGUGGCGAAGGCGGGUCUCUGGGCAAUAACUGACGCUGAGGAGCGAAAGCGUGGGGAGCGAACAGG